rnacentral:lncRNA from 1 species
UUUGAUGUAUGUAAAUUAAGUUCGAAUGUAUUAUUAUUUAGUAUUAUUCAGCUUAAAGAAAUGGUAUCGUGGAGAACCGAGUUCGGGUUUCAAGUACCUGGAUUUGGGGUCGCCACAAGUUAGGUUUUGAACUCAAAUGUUGUAAGAUCAUUAUGAGGCAAGUGUAUAUACUUAGUAUACAUGUUAAGACCAAUCCUAUGUCACAUCUAUGGUGAUGACAUUAGGAAUUGAACGUAAGUUAUUGAUAAUGAAACGAUGAACGUUAAUAAGCCGUAAGGGCGGAUAAAUACUUGAAACGAGUUUUAUUAAUGAAAUAAAUUCGGUUAAGUUAUAGAAGAGAAAGAAGUUGGUAGAAACAAUGCGAUUAGAUUGUUUAGUAGCUAAUUACAGUGUGUUAUGUAUAUAUAUCAUGUAGAUACUGUAAAGACUGAGAACUGUUGAAUAUUAAUUUGAAGACGCUUGAAGGCAAGUUUUCUUAACGCUUGUCUAACCUCCGUGUUAGCCAAGUUUUCUGUGAUUCAUGAUAUGAGAUGCAUGAAUUAUUUUAACAAAAGGGUCGAUGCCAGAUUUAACUCGGCUAGACUAAUCUUGAAGACUUUAUUGAUUUAUUAACAAUUCUUUCAAUCUAGAAUUGUUAAUGCUAUCCUACGUCAAUUGUUUGGUACGGAUUCAAGGUAAGCCUGAGUAUGAAUAAACAAAUGUAUUUUACAUCGAUUAUUCGAUGAGCACGCGAGGUUGCCAAAACUUAAACGUGAAUACGUUUAACGGAUGAUUGUUGAUCAACAUAGAGUAUUAUAGGUUGAUCACCUAGAAGUGCUCGUAAGAUAUAUCGGACUUACGGUCUUAGUGUCGGGUUGUCCUUUUUCAUGAAUGAAAACUAAAGAGAAUGUUCAUGGUCUUGUGACCUACUCAGAUUCCUAAGUUCCUAUAAGUACUUCAGAAUUGUUUAUGAGAAAGAAAAGUGUUAUACAAUAUUUCAUAAUACUUCAUAGAUAUUUGUUCAGUUAUUGAAGAAUAAUCAUAUGAUUCUCGAUGUGAUAUUUAUAUUAUACAUUGCUAGACUUACUGAGCUAGUUAUGCUCACUUCUUGCUUGAAUUAUGUAAGGCCCCCAAAUUCGGGUACUUGAAACCCGAACUCGGUGCUUCACAAUACCAUUUCUAUGAGCGGAAUAAUACUAAUAAUAAUAACAAUAAUAUAAAGAUCAACUUAAUUUACAUAUUUAUCAGAGUCUGAAUCCCAAGUACGUAACCUUUAAACAUUCAUUACAACCCAUGAUAGAUAAUAUAUAUCAUAUUUGUCUUAAUAAAGUUUAAACUAUUACAUAAUAUAUAACAUAACACUUAUUCAGCAACUUUCCCUUUUUCUUUGUUCUUAGCAGAGAUCUCUGGUUGUUCACCCUUAGCUGAAAAUAUUUAAAUUAAGCAAGGAUGAGUAUUUGAGUGCCCAACAAGUAAUAACAAUUAUAUAUAUAAGCUGAAAGAAUUUAAAUGUUUUCU